rnacentral:rRNA from 1 species
AGCGAACGCUGGCGGCAGGCUUAACACAUGCAAGUCGAACGAUCCUUCGGGAUAGUGGCGGACGGGUGAGUAACACGUGGGAACGUGCCUUUAGGUUCGGAACAACACAGGGAAACUUGUGCUAAUACCGGAUAAGCCCUUCGGGGAAGGAUUAUCGCCUUAGUAGCGGCCCGCGUCUGAUUAGCUUGUUGGUGGGGUAAAGGCCUACCAAGGCGACGAUCAGUAGCUGGUCUGAGAGGANGGCCAGCCACAUUGGGACUGAGACACGGCCCAAACUCCUACGGGAGGCAGCAGUGGGGAAUCUUGCGCAAUGGGCGAAAGCCUGACGCAGCCAUGCCGCGUGGAUGAUGAAGGUCUUAGGAUUGUAAAAUACCUUUCACCGGGACGAUAAUGACGGUACCCGGAGAAGAAG